CAGUAGCCGCGGUAAUGCGAAGGGUGCAAGCGUUGCUCGGAAUUAUUGGGCGUAAAGGGUUGGUAGGUGGUCUUGUUUGUCUAAGGUGAAAUCCCAUGGCUCAACCGGGGAGGGUCAUUGGAAACUGGGAAACUUGAGUGCAGAAGAGGAGAGUGGAAUUCCACGUGUAGCGGUGAAAUGCGUAGAGAUGUGGAGGAACACCAGUGGCGAAGGCGACUCUCUGGUCUGUAACUGACGCUGAGGAGCGAAAGCGUGGGGAGCGAACAGGAUUAGAUACCCCCGUAGUCCCUGUCUCUUAUAC
rnacentral:rRNA from 1 species